rnacentral:rRNA from 1 species
GUAGUUUACUACAGAAAAUGACUGAGCGGCGAACGGGUGAGUAACGCGUGAGCAAUCUACCUUAGUUACAGGGAUAGCCCGAGGAAACUCGGAUUAAUACCUGAUAUUCUUUAUUUCUCGCAUGAGAAUAAAAGGAAAGGUCAGCCGAACUAAGAUGAGCUCGCGUUCUAUCAGCUAGUUGGUGAGGUAAAAGCUUACCAAGGCUACGACGGAUAGCUGGUCUGAGAGGACGAUCAGCCACACUGGGACUGAGACACGGCCCAGACUCCUACGGGAGGCUGCAGCAGGGAAUAUUGUGCAAUGAACGAAAGUUUGACACAGCGACACCGCGUGUGGGAUGACGGAUCUAGGUUUGUAAACCACUUUCAGGAGGGAAGAAAAUGACGGUACCUCCACAAGAAGCCCCGGCCAACUACGUGCCAGCAGCCGCGGUAAUACGUAGGGGGCGAGCGUUGUCCGGAUUUAUUGGGCGUAAAGAGCUCGUAGGCGGUUCAACAAGUCGGUCGUGAAAGUUCAGGGCUCAACCCUGAAAUGUCGAUCGAUACUGUUGUGACUAGGAUACGGUAGAGGUGAGUGGAAUUCCGAGUGUAGCGGUGAAAUGCGUAGAUAUUCGGAGGAACACCAAUUGCGAAGGCAGCUCACUGGACCGCUAUCGACGCUGAGGAGCGAAAGCUAGGGGAGCAAACAGGAUUAGAUACCCUGGUAGUCCUAGCUGUAAACGAUGGAUACUAGACGUAGGAACUGGAUUGACGGUUUCUGUGUCGUAGCUAACGCGUUAAGUAUCCCGCCUGGGGAGUACGGUCGCAAGACUAAAACUCAAAGGAAUUGACGGGACCCCGCACAAGCGGCGGAGCAUGCGGCUU